rnacentral:rRNA from 2 species
UGAACAGGGCGAAAGAGUAUGAGGCCGCAGACCCGAAACCAGGUGAUCUACCCAUGUCCAGGGUGAAGGCAAGGUAACACUUGCUGGAGGCCCGAACCCACGCACGUUGAAAAGUGCGGGGAUGAGGUGUGGGUAGCGGAGAAAUUCCAAUCGAACUUGGAGAUAGCUGGUUCUCUCCGAAAUAGCUUUAGGGCUAGCCUCAAGCGGAGAGUUUUGGAGGUAGAGCACUGUUUGGACGAGGGGCCCUCAUCGGGUUACCGAAUUCAGACAAACUCCGAAUGCCAAAAACUUAUGCUUGGGAGUCAGACUGUGAGUGAUAAGAUCCAUGGUCGAAAGGGAAACAGCCCAGACCGCCAGCUAAGGUCCCAAAGUAUACGUUAAGUGGAAAAGGAUGUGGCGUUGCUUAGACAACCAGGAUGUUGGCUUAGAAGCAGCCAUCAUUCAAAGAGUGCGUAAUAGCUCACUGGUCGAGUGACGCUGCGCCGAAAAUGUACCGGGGCUAAACGU